rnacentral:rRNA from 1 species
UGGGGAAUUUUGCACAAUGGGGGAAACCCUGAUGCAGCGACGCCGCGUGAUUUAGAAGGCCUUCGGGUUGUAAAAAUCUUUUCUAUGGGAAGAAAAUGACAGUACCAUAGGAAUAAGGACCGGCUAAUUACGUGCCAGCAGCCGCGGUAAUACGUAAGGUCCGAGCGUUGUCCGGAAUCAUUGGGCGUAAAGGGUACGUAGGCGGGUAAGCAAGUUAGAAGUGAAAUCCUGUAGCUCAACUAUAGUAAGCUUUUAAAACUGCUCAUCUUGAGGUAUGGAAGGGAAAGUGGAAUUCCUAGUGUAGCGGUGAAAUGCGCAGAUAUGAGGAGGAAUACCGGUGGCGAAGGCGACUUUCUGGCCAUAACCUGACGCUGAGGUACGAAAGCGUGGGUAGCAAACAGG